UACGUAGGGGGCAAGCGUUGUCCGGAAUCAUUGGGCGUAAAGCGCGUGUAGGCGGCCCGGUAAGUCCGCUGUGAAAGUCCAGGGCUCAACCCUGGGAUGCCGGUGGAUACUGUCGGGCUCGAGUCCGGAAGAGGAGUGUGGAAUUCCUGGAGUAGCGGUGAAAUGCGCAGAUAUCAGGAAGAACACCUAUGGCGAAGGCAGCUCUCUGGGACGGUACUGACGCUGAGACGCGAAAGCGUGGGGAGCGAACAGG
rnacentral:rRNA from 1 species